rnacentral:rRNA from 1 species
GGUCGAUGAAAAGCUAACACAAUGCCCAAUCUCAUCUGACCUUGGAAGCUAAGCAGGGUUGGGACUGGUUAGUACUUUAGAUGGGAACUAAGUGAAUACCUUCUCAACAACAA